rnacentral:rRNA from 1 species
CCACGCUGUAAACGAUGAAUACUAGGUGUGGGAGGACUGACCCCUUCCGUGCCGCAGUUAACACAAUAAGUAUUCCACCUGGGGAGUACGACCGCAAGGUUGAAACUCAAAGGAAUUGACGGGGGCCCGCACAAGCAGUGGAUUAUGUGGUUUAAUUCGACGCAACGCGAAGAACCUUACCAGGAUUUGACAUCCAACUAACGAAGUAGAGAUACAUUAGGUGCCCUUCGGGGAAAGUUGAGACAGGUGGUGCAUGGUUGUCGUCAGCUCGUGUCGUGAGAUGUUGGGUUAAGUCCCGCAACGAGCGCAACCCCUAUUGUUAGUUGCUACGCAAGAGCACUCUAGCGAGACUGCCGUUGACAAAACGGAGGAAGGCGGGGACGACGUCAAAUCAUCAUGCCCCUUAUGUCCUGGGCUACACACGUAAUACAAUGGCCGUCAACAGAGGGAAGCAAAGCCGCGAGGCAGAGCAAAUCCCUAAAAACGGUCUCAGUUCGGAUUGCAGGCUGCAACUCGCCUGCAUGAAGCUGGAAUUGCUAGUAAUCGCGGAU